GGUUCCGUAACUCAGGGGAUAGAGCACCGCGUUGCGGGCGCGGAGGUCCGAGGUUCGAGUCCUCGCGGGACCA
rnacentral:tRNA from 1 species